AACAAUUACAAAGUGAACCGACUC
rnacentral:siRNA from 1 species